UCCGCUCCUCUAGCGACAGCUUCGAACAGGUCCGUCGCGUCGCCCGAGAGAAGGAGAGAGAGAAACAGCUAAAAGCACAGGCCAGGAGAGAGCAGGAGAAACUACGUAGCCUUGACGACGAGGACUCUGUGGACCAGCAGAGGGAGCUGGCGAGACGCCGCGAGCAGGAAAGGAGGAGGAGAGAGAUGGCGGACACCAUUGACAUCAACUUCCAGAGCGACUUGAUGGUCAUCUUUGAAGAGAACCUUUUCUGAGAGAGAGAUUGAGAAAGGAGGAGAGGGAGAGAAAGAGAUAUGAACUCUACCUUAUCCCACCAUGGCUGGGAUUUCACACACAACACCCUCCCUCCCUCUGAUUAGAGACCCCAGACCAGGAUGUGAGCUCCAGAGACUUGAAGGAGACUGAGGUGAGGUACAGUAAUAAGGAGUAGCCCUCCCUCCCUCCCUCUGAUUAGAGACCCCAGACCAGGAUGUGAGCUCCAGAGACUUGAAGGAGACUGAGGUGAGGUACAGUAAUAAGGAGAUGCCCUCCCUCCCUCCCUCUGAUUAGAGACCCCAGACCAGGAUGUGAGCUCCAGAGACUUGAAGGAGACUGAGGUGAGGUACAGUAAUAAGGAGAUGCCCUCCCUCCCUCUGAUUAGAGACCCCAGACCAGGAUGUGAGCUCCAGAGACUUGAAGGAGACUGAGGUGAGGUACAGUAAUAAGGAGUAGCCCUCCCUCCCUCUGAUUAGAGACCCCAGACCAGGAUGUGAGCUCCAGAGACUUGAAGGAGACUGAGGUGAGGUACAGUAAUAAGGAGUAGCCCUCCCUCCCUCUGAUUAGAGACCCCAGACCAGGAUGUGAGCUCCAGAGACUUGAAGGAGACUGAGGUGAGGUACAGUAAUAAGGAGUAGCCCUCCCUCCCUCUGAUUAGAGACCCCAGACCAGGAUGUGAGCUCCAGAGACUUGAAGGAGACUGAGGUGAGGUACAGUAAUAAGGAGAGAAGCCUCCCCCCCUUAGCGGUGGGGACCGGGAGUACAACUUCCACUUUUUGCAAUUUCAGAUGCGUUUUUUUGUGUCUAACUGCCCGUUUAUCGUUGAUGAUUGGUGGUUGCCGUGGGCAAUGGUGAAACCGGAUACCUAUGGAUAAACAGAUAUGUGAACUCCUCUUGUAUUCUGAAAUGAAACCGGAGGGAGGAGGGGAGGACUGAGAACUAUUACCUGAACAUAAAGAAUAAAAAGAGGGUUUAAUGGAGAAAGAAGAUGUGAACACCUUCUAACGUGCGAGAGGGAGGGCCGGGCGAACGAGAGGAUGGACAGACUUCUUUCUCUUUGAUUCAUUUCUCUCUUAAUCUAGAAUUUUUCUCUCCCUGUUUUUUGAUGUUGGGUUUUAUUAAGCGGGGUGG
rnacentral:lncRNA from 1 species